rnacentral:tRNA from 1 species
GCGCCCAUAGCUCAAUUGGUAGAGCAGCGGACUCUUAAUCCGUUGGUUCGGGGUUCAAGUCCCUGUGGGCGUACCA